AAACGCCUGAGGUGUGCGUCGGUGCCUUAUUUUUACCCACAUUUCACAAAACGGAGCUCGGGUCCGUGGUGGAUGUCAUGCCCCCGUGAUACUCACGCCAGGGGACGGCAGCAAGCUGGCGGCAGAGCACCGACCCUGCUUAACAUAGCGGGUGAAAAAAUAGGGUGCAGCGGCACUUUGGGUUUUCG
rnacentral:other from 1 species